rnacentral:rRNA from 1 species
AUAAGCUAUUUAAGAGCGUAUGGGGGAUGCCUAGGCUCUCAGAGGCGAAGAAGGACGUGAUAAGCUGCGAUAAGCUGCGGGGAUUGGCACACACAAUUUGAUCCGCAGAUUUCCGAAUGGGGAAACCCACUAUAUUGAAGAUAUAGUAUCCGUUAAGGAGGUAAACCCAGGGAACUGAAACAUCUAAGUACCUGGAGGAAAAGAAAACAAAAGUGAUUCCGUUAGUAGUGGCGAGCGAACGCGGAUUAGCCCAAACCAAAGUUGUUUCGGCAAUUUUGGGGUUGUAGGACCACGAUAUUGAAUGUUUAAUGAAUUAGAAUUCUUUGGAAAAAGAAACCAUAGAGGGUGAUAGUCCCGUAUAAGUAAAGAGAAUUAUUCAUAGUGGUAUCCUGAGUAGCGCGGGACACGUGUAAUCCUGUGUGAAUCUGGCGGGACCAUCCGCUAAGGCUAAAUACUCCUGAGAGACCGAUAGUGAACUAGUACCGUGAGGGAAAGGUGAAAAGAACCUUGAAUAAAGGAGUGAAAUAGACCCUGAAACCAUACGCUUACAAGCGGUCGGAGCCAUUUCGAUGGUGACGGCGUGCCUUUUGCAUAAUGAGCCUACGAGUUACCGUUUCUAGCAAGGUUAAAUACUUUAGGUAUGGAUCCGUAGCGAAAGCGAGUCUGAAUAGGGCGAAUAAGUUAGUGGUGGUAGACGCGAAACCGAGUGAGCUACCCAUGGGCAGGGUGAAGCUAUGGUAACACAUAGUGGAGGCCCGAACCCGUUGACGUUGAAAAGUCUUGGGAUGACCUGUGGGUAGGGGUGAAAGGCCAAUCAAACUCGGAAAUAGCUCGUACUCCCCGAAAUGCAUUUAGGUGCAGCGUUGAUUUAGUUUUAUAGAGGUAGAGCUACUGAUUGGAUGCGGGGGUUUCACCACCUACCAAUUCUUGACAAACUCCGAAUGCUAUAAAAUGAUGAUCAGCAGUGAGGGCAUGGGUGCUAAGGUCCAUGUCCGAGAGGGAAAGAACCCAGACCAUCAGCUAAGGUCCCAAAAUGUAUGUUAAGUUGAUUAAACGAGGUUGAACUGCCCAGACAGCUAGGAUGUUGGCUUGGAAGCAGCCAUUCAUUUAAAGAGUGCGUAACAGCUCACUAGUCGAGCGGUUCGGCAUGGAUAAUAAUCGGGCAUAAACAUACUACCGAAGCUAUGGACUUGUAAAAGUGGUAGGGGAGCAUUGUAGUUUCGCUGAAGGAAAAAUGUGAGUUUUUCUGGAGAGACUACAAAAGAAAAUGUAGGCAUAAGUAACGAUAAUGCGGGCGAGAAACCCGCACACCGAAAGACUAAGGUUUCCUCAGCUAUGCUAAUCAGCUGAGGGUUAGUCGGGACCUAACGCGAACCCGAAAGGGGUAGUGGAUGGACAACAGGUUAAUAUUCCUGUACCUGCUCACAUUAAACGUGACGGAGGCGUGGAUUUGGUGCGUACUGACGGAAUAGUACGUUGAAGCCAGUGGUAACACGGCGAUAGUACACUGAAACUUCGGUGGAUGUGAUAAUCCAGAGUAACGACUUCCAAGAAAAACAAGUGAAGCAGCCCGUACCCCAAACCGACACAGGUAGUUGGGAUGAGAAUUCUAAGGUGCUCGAGUGAUUCAUGGCUAAGGAACUAGGCAAAAUCGACCCGUAACUUCGGGAGAAGGGUCGCCCAUCUUCGGAUGGGCCGCAGUGAAAAGAUCCAGGCGACUGUUUAUCAAAAACACAGGGCUAUGCUAAAUCGAAAGAUGAUGUAUAUGGCCUGACACCUGCCCGGUGCUGGAAGGUUAAGUGGAGGGUUUAGCUUCGGCGAAGAUCUGAAAUGAAGCCCCAGUAAACGGCGGCCGUAACUAUAACGGUCCUAAGGUAGCGAAAUUCCUUGUCGGGUAAGUUCCGACCUGCACGAAUGGUGCAACGAUCUGGAUACUGUCUCGGCCAUGAGCUCGGUGAAAUUGUAGUAUCGGUGAAGAUGCCGAUUACCCGCAAUGGGACGAAAAGACCCCGUGAACCUU